GCCAAGGAGGCCUGGACUAGGGGAAGAGGUAACAAAGGUUGCUCUGGUGGUCAAGUCCUGUCGAGGCGCUGUUGCCAGAGCUUUCCAAGAAGGAGGGGAGAAGAGGCAGCAGAAUCGCAGAGUCCAUUUGCUCCUCCAGCACUCUCUCCCUUCCCUGCCCCUUGCCCUCCCACCCCCUGGGUUUAGCAGACAAGGGGAGAAGAGAGAAGAGUUCAGCACUACUGGGAGCCCGGCCCCUCCCCUUCUUCCCAGGCCUGUGGGGGCUGCUGGCUUUCGCGUUGCCAGGCGCCCAGCGCUCUCUGAACAGGGCGCUCGCCUGCGCCACAAGGGCACUUGUUCUCCCCAAUCCUGAGCGCACUGGCCGCUGGCCAUUAGCAACGGCCCGGGGGAGUGAAGGGCCCAACGUUUGGUGUUCGCGAAGCCCAGCCAAACCAGAAGCAGUGAAGUAGUUGACCCUGGAUUACUUCUGCAAAGUACCUCCCGAGUUGAAACAGUGAGCUCCAUUAAAGGCUAUAGUCUAUUAUACCAGCGUGUCACGCUCUAGAGAGGUGAGUUCGAAGGACCUCAGCCGGCAAAAAAAAAAAAAAAAAAGACUCGAGUGCAGAUUCUAGCUGGGGAUUUUAGGCCUUUAUUAAGAGAUGAUGAUCGCUUUUCUGCCUUUCAUUGUUCAACUCCUCACUCUGUAGGAUUUCGGGUAUGGGAGGUGCAAGGGAGAGCAGAGAAAAUGGUUAAAGCCUUCACCAAGAUUUUGCUCUGGGUGAACUGACUCAUCUGAGAGGUUUCGGUAUCAUGAGCUCAGCCAUUUUAAGAGUCUCCAGUAACUUUGCGCAUGUCUCAGAUGGAAGCGAUUGGGAGUAGCCCUGUUUGGAUGGAAGAAGAAAAAUGUUCCUGAGUGAAUGACCAAAAUCCCCGGAAAAGACUGGAUUACUCAAAGAAGGACAAACUCAUUACUGAUUUCUAAAAAGCAGAUACAUUUGCAUAGAUAAGACAUUUUUUAGAGUAAUUAAAGUGAGAUCAUAUGUUUACUUUUUGGAUAAAAUAUAGGAAAUGUUACAGAACAGUGCUGUCCAACAGAAAUAUAAUGAGUCACAUAUGUAAUAUUAAAUUUUCCAGUAGCUACAUUUAUUUUUAAACAAACGUGAUAUUAAUUUUAGUAUACUUUAUUUAUCACUAUAUAUCCAACAUGCAGGUAAUCUAUAGAAAAAUAUAUUGCACAUUUUUAUACUAAGCCUUCAAAAUUCAAUAUGUAUUUUUGCACUUAAUAGCACAUCUCAUUUUUGAUUAGCCAUAUUGCAAGUGCACAGUAGUCACAUGUGGGUAGUGGUUAAGUUCGACAGCACACUUAAAGAAGGACCAUUAUAUGGCUAAGAACCUCAUUCUGCAAAGCUUUUAGAGAAGCAGGAAAACAGAAGGAUUUGGAAUUAUUGUAAAUUGUUGACAAACAUUCAUCACAUUCUCAUGAUAGGGGCAGGGAGGAAUUAGGCUUGUUUUCAUCCUACAAAAAGCUCACUGCUUUUGCAUAAAGCCUGAUCAGGUAGAAUAGUGAUUUCACCUAGGUACCAAGAAAUAACAACUAUAAACAUUUUCACCAGGUUUUUUGUUGUUGUUGUUAAACUGUAAUUUAUGUUUUUGAACGUGGUACAAUGACAGAGGAAAUGCUUUGAAAUAAAAAAGGACCUCAACGGAUCCAGCAGAGGACUCUUCCAAAUAUUAGUCCAUGAUUCUAAAAACUGUAGCACAAAAAUCAUCUGGAGGGCUUGUUAAAGCACAGAUUCCUGGGCCCCACCCCCAUUGACUGAUUCUGUAGGUUUGUGGUGGGGCUUAUGAAUACAAAUUCCUAAGUAAUGCUCAUGCUGCUUAUCUGUGAACCACACUCCCAGCACAUUCACACUGGUCUAUCCAAUUCUUACUUCCCUAAGAGGGUUUCUCUGAAAAUGUUUGAAAAACCACUACAAUAAUUGUGAUUUAAGUUACAUGCACCAUAUUUUUGCAAUUUUUAAAACUAAUGAGCCUUAAAAAGUAGAAAUGCUGCAUUUUGGAAUUUCAGAAAUCUCUCACAAGUCCGUUGGAAAUAGGCAGAACUUUCUAAAUCAGAAUUGAUUACAUUUUCAAGUAUUAAAACAGAAAGCCUACUAACAUAGACUUUCACAGAAAUCCCACUUUAAUGAGCUUGGGUUUGUACUUGUCAAAUUGUGUGCAUAUACAUUUUCUCAUUUUAGCAUCAGAGGUUUUUGUGACAAAAUUGCCAAAGAUUGUCAUGUGAAAAUGUAGAAACCUCAAACUUCUCCUAAGAUGCAUCUUAUAGUUAUAGUAUAAAAUAACAUAAAAGAUGUACUUGUAAAGCAUGUUUGAAAGAGACCAAACUAUUACAAUUUUACUUUACAGGUAGUGUGUGUUUCAGGGGAGAAAACAGUGGGGAAAAUGCAGCUAGUAAUAGAUGAUGCAAAUCAAACAGGUUCAUAUAAGAAGACAUAUCAAGAACAGGUCAUUUUUAUCCACUCACACAUUUGUUAAUCUUAAUCCCCUGGAGUUUAUUCUUUUUAGAUUCUGUGGAAUUUAUCUCUGUACCUAGGCAUAGGCUCUGAUUGGACCUGGUAUCAUGUCCAUUUCCUACACAGAGCUACCAUAGAUAUCAUCAUAAAUUAAUGCAGUGAUGAGUUCAAACCCUGCCUCAACUGUUAGUGAAUGUUAAUACCAGUUCGUGUGCAGUACGGAAUUAAUGUGGUAAAUAUCUGUAACCCAUUACGAAUUUUCAGCCACCAUACCAUGAAUCACAUAUGUAAAUAUAUAUAUAUAAUAUAUGGUACAUAUUUAUAUAUCAUAUAUAUGUAUACUAAGAAAAUUACCAUAACUUUUCUCCUCAAAGGGUCUUCACACCCUUAAAAACUAUUCUUCUUCUGUAACAUAAAGGACAGGAAAAAUGAAAAAAAAAAAAACACAUAAAAACAUUGGGACCAGUUGAUUAACAUCUUUCUCUCUAUCUACCUAUCUAGGUGAAGUA